UUCUCCUUGAGACCUGCAAAAGUCAAACUGCUGUAUUUGAAAUAUAAAUGAUGACAGUUUACAUCUUUUAAAGCGUUUCUCUGGAGAGUACGUACUUAUGAACCCUUUUCCCAAGAAGUUCAGGGUCUGAAUUGAUGUCAGAUGUGAAGCUGGCCUUCUUCCAGUUCUUGAGAACAUUGUCAAAAGAUGCUAAUACAUGAGAUGUAAUAUGGUUAUUUAAUGUGCAAAAAACAUGAAAACAUGUACGAUUUCAUUUUGUUGUUUAACAAUUGGCAAAAUCAUGUUUAAUUUCAAGUAGAACAUGUUCUCCACCUACCAGACUCAUGAAGAAUUCUUGCUUUGUGUCGGGUCCAUCCUUUCUCUGGCUGUGGUUCCUCCAUUACUUUAACACACUUCAAUAACUUGUCAGUUUCCUUUUAUGGUGGCCACCAGGAGUAGCCAUCUGAAUACCAGGACUUUGCAGCUGGUCCAGUCGUCCCUUCUCCCUCAAACUCCACAAUCAGGUACAUAUUUUUUUUUGUAAAGUUGAAAGGACGAAACGGGGGGCACGGUGGCUUAGUGGUUAGCAUGUUUGCCUCACACCUCCAGGGUUGGGGGUUCGAUUCCCGCUUCCGACUUGUGUGUGUGGAGUUUGCAUGUUCUCCCCGUGCCUCGGGGGUUUCCUCCGGGUACUCCGGUUUCCUCCCCUGGUCCAAAGACAUGCAUGGUAGGUUGAUUGGCAUCGCUGGAAAAAAUUGUCCGUAGGGUGUGAGUGCGUGAGUGAAUGAGUGUGUGCCCUGCGAUGGACUGGCACUCCAUCCAUGGUGUAUCCUGCCUUGAUGCCCGAUGACUCCGGAGAUAGGCGCAGGCUCCCCGUGACCCGAGGUAGUUCGGAUAAGCGGUAGAAAAUGGAAUGGAAUGGAAAGGACGAAACCUGUAUUUUUAUUAAGAUUUUUUAUUAUUAUUGAUUGUUUAACUAUGUCUAUCAAAUGCAAACUAAGUGACUUUAACUAUAUUAUAUUGCCAAAACUAUAUGACCCCCUCUAAUGAACUACUUCAGUCAUUUCCGUGAGUACAAAUCUUAAUAUCGCAGGAUAUCAUGAUAUUGGAAAUUGUGUGCUUCUAAUUUAUUAGCGUGUGGAAGGGACACUUUUCUGUCCAACCUGACAAUGACCCGGUGCACAAAGCAAGAUUUUAAAAGAAAUUCAGUCGAUGGGGACGAUCUGCAUAAAGCCCAGAGCUAAACUCAACUGAACAACUUUGGUGUGACUUUAUACAGAAAGUUUAAGCAUAAACUCAACUUGAGCCAAAACUCAACCCAACAUCAAUGGCUUGUGCACAAGUAGUAGUUAUUUUGGGACCGAAAAAGGCACUUUCGAAAAUUUUCAAAAUUGUAUUUCUGCAAAUACAGAAUUUUGUUUCCAUCUCAGUUGCAAACGUUUUGGAAGAACCUUUUUCUGUUCCAAAAUGGGUCUACCCCUGUUUAUAAGUCAUUGAGUGAUGAGUUUUUUUCAUUUAAGUCUACAUUUAAAGUCACACCAAAGGUGUUCAGCUGGGUUAAGGACUUGGCUUUAUGCAGACCAUGAAUGUUCUUCCCCAUCGACUGAAUUUCUUGCUUUGUGCACAGGGGCAUUGUCAUGUUGGAAUAUAAAAGGGCCCUUCUCAAACGGUUGCUAAAUUCGAAGCACACAAUUCCCUAGAAUAUCAUAAUUUGCUGUUGCAUUACGAUUUGUACUGACGAAAAAAAAUCAAACUCUAUCUACAGAAAACAAGCAGAGAUAUAGAUUUACUCUAUGUAAAAGAGAAAUUGAAACAAAGCAACUAUGAUGGGGAACAAGGAAAGAGAGAGAGAAUUAUGCACAUAUAUUGUAAAUCAAAGAUUCUUAUUAAUGUCACUUCAAUUUAUUAAAAUUGAAAGAAAAUGAUAACUGAGUAAGGUGCUUGUACUAACACGAACAAAUGCAUUAAGUACUUGUUUUUAGCAUGUUCAUUGGUUAAGUUGCUAAAACUAAUGGGCAGUGCCGUCAUUGUCAUAUGGUCUGUUCGACAUGUGGCGCAGCUCAAACCGCUUGUGGCGUCACAGUACCGCGAGAGCAAUUUCAGAGGAUCUGGCAGGGUGCUUUGGGAACGCUCUCGCGAUACUAUGAUGUCAUAUUCUGAUCGAUCUGCGGAAGACAUCAAGAAGUCUAAACACAAUGACGUACCUCGUGAAUUUCCGUACGGAGUGAUGCAGAAACGUGCUUAGAAACAAGCCCAAAUUGACCCAGAAGAAAAACUUUAUUAGUCCGCAAGUACCAGCCCAAGAGCAGGUAAGCUUGUUUUUUAAUCUUUCCUUCAUCAGAUCUUUAUUGGUGAUAGUGGACGGGGAAAAACUGUCAUGUUGUGGCGGUGUUUAUCGAUGCAGUUUGUUUUCAUUGACAAUCAAUAGAAGUUAAUGAAUGGCACAUUUUAUUAGUUGACCAGAUUUGUGAUCACGUGAGAGCUCUUUUUUUUACAACUUUAUACACGUUAUGGUUUUGGUCGUUUAUUUGUUUUAUGGUUUCCGUUUCAAUGCAAAGAAACGGAAGGAAUGGUGUUAAAAACAUUUGCGGUUUAACCCUCACUACCGGGUCUUCUCGGCCUUUGGGCCAGUAUUUUUGAUCACCCAUUUCAUUCUUUUGAGAUAAAAAUAGUCAUAGAUUUACAGAUGUAUUUGCACUGGCUGGUUCAAAGACUUAAGUCACAAAAAGGCUCAUCGAACUUUCAUUUCAUACAUUUCAUUUGCAGAGAUAUCUUCCAAUAAACAUUUAAGGAACUCUGCAUGUCACUGUUGACUCUCUUACGUCAUAAUUGCUUCUCAUGUACGCAUGAUUAUGUAACGUAUUGUCCAGGGAUGAGUGUUGACGUUGUACGCACGCAAUCUCCGCAGGCCUGCACGUAUGUUUUUGUUCACGCAAGUAUGUAUAAUUAAGUACUGCAUUUAUAAACGUUGUUGACCGUUUGUUGACGUUGUAACCAUUUUAAAACGACUUCUCAAGUAUGCUUAUAAACAUGUUGACCUAUAUAUAAUGAUAAUCUGGUGCUAUAUAAAUGCUUAUUAUACUAAAUAGACAAACCGAGUAGUUGGCAUUAAUCGCCUUCGUUGGAACGUGCGCCAAGCAAUCUGCGCAUCCCCUCACGAACGGCUCUUUUCCUGAAAACAUUAACGUUUGCUUGUUCGAGUGCGUUUUAUCAGGUUAGGGACUAAACUUAAUAGAAAACGAAUUUCACGAGCCAGAUUUUUGUAUAACUUGUAACGUUAGGCAACCUAAGCAACUUCCUAGACAUGUUACUUUUCUCAAUGCUGGGGGUUAAACCAAUAGGUUUUGUUUAAAUAGCAGCCGACUUUCCCUGAGCAGUCGCGGAAAUGCACGAUUUAACUCACUUAUCCGGUAGCUUGUUAAGAAAAUGACUUUUAUUCUCAAUGUUCCUGUUAUCGCAAGCACCUUCGUUUUUUAAUUUCUUUUUUUACAUUGGGGAUAUGGAGUAUGAGAACGGCGCUUUGUUUUUUCUCAGUCAGGUUUCUCACUGAGGAGAAAAAGCGCGCCAAUAAAAUAUGUGAAUGGUUUAAUGAGGUGAUUCAACUACAAUUGUAUUUCAGUUCAAUAUUAAGUGUACUUUAAUUAUUUGGUUAACAUAUAUAGGAUAUUAUUUGGUAAAGAUAUAUAGAAUAUUUAAAUGCAACACAUUUUAACAAUUAAAAAUCAAGACAAAGCCAAAUCUAAAACUUACCAACAACUUGACGAAUAAACUGGCACAAAGUAACUCGGAACAAAUUGUAAACCAAACACACUUAAACUGGAUGGAACUAUGAACGAAAUGAAAUGCAAUGUAUACAAAUAAUUAUAGACUGUUAAUGAGAAAUUAAAUUCAAAGGGAAUGUUUAAAGAGUAUAAGCUGCAGGAGACAAUGGCAGUGGUCAUGUGACACAAGUUGCCAGUGGUCACGUGAGUUAAGAGUGACCUCAAUCUAAACGUGUGCCCCUCAUGAGCUGGUUGCAUGGAGUCUAAUGGCACAUAUUGAGCAGUUAUAGAUUUGAUUCGAUUUUUUUCAUGUUUUAAAGCUUUUAUUUUAAAAUUAACAAAAACUAAAAAUCGAACUUGCAUUUUUAGCAACUUUAUUAUAUGAUUUUGCCAUUGUAUUGUUUAUUUGUUUAUUUUUUAUGUUUCUAUAACAGAUUUGUUAGUUUUAGUUUUGUUUAUUAACUUUAGUGCUCCAAACUUAUCGUUUUUUUUCUGAAGCAACAUUUGCAUUUUUUGUUAGUUUAUUUUUUGCCCUAAGUUUCAGGCCAAUAUUUUAUUUGAUUUCAAUAAACAAAAUGCUUUCAGAGUAUUCAUUUUAGUAAAUUAUUAUUAUGUUGUGAAAAUAAAUCUGCAUCAUUAAGCCUUUUGAACUUAAAAGAAAGGUUAGAUUUUUCGUCAAUCUUUUAGAGAAUAAGAAUUUUAAAUGGUUGGGAAUCUCAUUAAGAAAUAUAUAUUUUAAACUUACCUUUAUGCAUUUGGCAGUUGCUUUUAUCCAAAAGCGCUUUGCAUUGCAUUUCAUUACAUUAUACUUUUGUUUCUGAGUAUGUACAAUCCCCUGGAAUCAAACCCAUGACCUUGGCAUUGCUAGCUUCAUGUUCUAAACACUGAGCUACGGAAUGCAAAGCCUCUAAUACAUAACUAAUUAUUCAUACCCAUUUAUUUAAUACUAUCUAAAGCUUUUUUUUUCCAAAAUAACAGCUCUUUAAUGCCUAAUACAUUUGAAGAACACCUGACAAGAGACAAUGCCUUUAUACAGAAUUACUCCAGACCCUUCAGAUUUCCAGCUUUCCUCUUUAGUUCUCUCCACUCAUUUUCUUUAGGCUUCAGGUCUUGUGCUCAGUGACCCAUUUUGUUUUGAUGUUUGUUUUUAGAUUAUUGUCCUGUUGGAUGAUCCAAACUUGGCCCAUUAUGUGACCUUGCUGGAAUCCAAGAUGCCAUCUAUCUGAACAAGAAGUCCAGGAUCUCCAGCAGAGAAUUAGGCCCAAAACAUUAAAGACACAGCAGUGUACAUCAUUGUACACAUUUGUACAUUUAUAUCCCUGUGUGCACUAAAUCUUGAGUGUUAGAUGCUAAAAAGCUUAUUCUUUUUUUUUUGUCAACAAAAGCAUGUCAUAUUUACCUAGAGUAUAAAUCAUUUUGAGCUCAACUGUAUGUGUUAAUCAUAAAUUGUCAUAGUAUGUCUUUCAUUGAUUGAAUCUAUUCACCUUAAAAAUAUAAUUCAUUAUCCAUAAUAACGGUUUGCUUUAUUUUUUUCAUUACAACACAUUUUAACAAAUGGUAAUAAAAGCUUUUACUUUAAAUAGCCAGGUAUUUUCUUGCUCAUCUGGCUGAAAGUCGCUGGUACAUCUGGAGCUGAGAAUUAUGGCUUGAUGUUUGGUCCACCCAUGGCUAUGGUGCCUCCAUCCUGACAUUUCCGCAACCAGUCCUUGAAUAGCGGGUAUGCAUGUGUCAUCACUUUACCACCUGAGCACGGCGUAGUGCGCCCCAAUGGGUGGCAAAACACUCAGUAAAAUGAAUGCUUGCAAAGGAAUCAGGUAUUCCUGGACACUAAAAUGUUGCAUGGAAUUGCUUUUCCAGAUUUUGUAAGUCCAGCUGCUUGCAAUUUCAGCUCAAAAUGACCAGUUUUAGUCCCUGUUUCUCCUUGUUCCUCAGCCAUUUUGGUGCGUGUUUUACCACUAAGGGGAACAUGUACUGGACCUCAAGGGGGCGUGUCCCGUGCCGUCAUGUUCACGCAGGAAAGUGACGUCUAUGCAUACCCUCUAUAGAGGACACCAUCAGUGGCCAUUUGAAUACAUCAAGUUUGCAACCGGUCCAGUUGUCUAAUUAUCAGGUACAUUUGUUGUUUUAUAAAAUGGUUAGUUUUUUAACUGAUCUUUAUUCUACAGCCAGCCCACUACACUUCACUUAGCUGUGGAAAGUGGGACACAUCCACCUCCCAACCUCCUCCCAGGAAGAACCAGUCUGUGAUCUCCUAAGAUGCAUUGAUCGAACUCUGGCCAUCUGACCAUCACCCUACCUCAUCUGCAAACAAUGUUUCAUGCAUGAUCUGAAUACUGUUCAUGGCAAAUUUAAUUUUAGUUCCCUACGAGCCUAUUAAAAACUUGCAUCGAGUUCUCUUAUUUGUGACUAUACACAUGGUGCUUUCAGACGUUGUAAUAGGCUUAACUGAUAUCCUUUUCCAAUUCGAAAAGUGUUGUGAUGGUGAUCAAUCUCAGCUGUGCUGUGUUUGGAGACAUGCUGCUGUUAUGCAUUAAUAUGCAAUCAUAAACUGUAGGUUAAAAACUAUUUGAACAAAUGAGUCAAGUUUGUUCAGCUGCUUUGUUACAGAGUUGUAAAAAUGGCUAGGUGAUGGUUAUAAUUUUAAUAAAGGACAUUGUCCGUCACUCAAGGCUGUUAUCUUGCACUUAAAUACCAUGGUGUAAAUGUAUUAGUUAUGAAUCAUGAUG